GGACUACAAGGGUAUCUAAUCCUGUUUGCUCCCCACGCUUUCGUGCCUCAGUGUCAGUUGCGCACCAGUAACCCGCCUUCGCCUCUGGCCUUCCGAGCAAUAUCUACGCAUUUCACCGCUACACUGCUCGUUCCGGUUACCCCUCACGCACUCAAGUUCGCCAGUAUCACGGGCAAUUUUCCGGUUGGGCCGAAAACUUUCACCCGUGACUUAACAAACCACCUACGCACCCUUUAUGCCCAGUAAUUCCGAACAACGCUUGCCCCACAUGUAUUACCGCGGCGGCUGGCAC
rnacentral:rRNA from 1 species